rnacentral:sRNA from 1 species
AAUAAGCCAGCGUUAGCGAUUGAAACGGCAUCCUUUUUAGUUGUCAGUUCGAGUGAAUUUGUGAAGAAUGAACAAAUUUGUGUCGAGAACAAAAACUAAAAAGAUAUAGUGUAAAGCGCGACCUGAA